rnacentral:lncRNA from 12 species
AUUUUGUUGAGCCUAAACACUUUCUGUCCUGAAUCUGGAAGGAAUAUUUUGUGUGGGGUCUGAUGCUCUGUGGCAGUGAAGGACUUAGGCAAGACAAGAGCCCAAGAGAGAACCAG